rnacentral:lncRNA from 1 species
GGCCCUAGAUCUCUAGCUUACGUUCUCACCUAGAGCAGAUAAAAGUAUUGCCGCAGAAUUUUUUUAUUAACUGUCUGGUAAGGGUUUUUGUAGGGUAUACGACCUCAACUUUAGACCUACUUUAGAAAAAAAAAAACUAAGCAGAACAACACCCUGGAUUUUUCUACUGUAGACCCCAGCUACCCAGCUUCCCUUUGCACCUAGUGAGGACAAUUUUUAUUACAUUUUCGGUAAGGAUGGGGUUCGGUGUUCGACCCCAAC